GAAGCGGCAGAAAAGGCCGGCGUGUGGGGCGGGCCUGGGGAAGGGACUCCCGCGGCCCUAAGGUGCUGGCGGGCGUUUGGCGUUGCAGCUGUGUGGGCGCUGGUGCGUGCGAGUAGCGCUCGAAGAAACCCAAAGGCGUCGUGGGGCUGCCGUGUGCCCCAGAGAGCACUGCAGGCCGGGUAGGGGCUAAGGCUCCCCGCAGUCUUCUGUGUGUCGUCCAGUACGCAGUUGAAAUCGUUCUCCAACCUGGCCAGUCCUCCGAGGCCCUUCUCAGGCGACCAGACUCUGUUAACAGAGUCCAUUGCUAAAACUCCUCGUUAGUAUUUACCACUCCUCCAGUCUGUGUUUUGAAGCAGUGGUUUUCAACCACUGCCCGUUUUCAGAAGAAAUCAUCUCAAGCGUCCGUGUGCUGCUAGAAGCCGGGCCGGGAGGUCUUGGUGCCGGACUCCACCCUGCAGCCCUUCCCUUUCGCCACCGCCCUGUGCUUAGAGAAACCUUAGAGUGGAGCAAUGAGUCGCCCUUGACUGAGUAACUCUUCGGGGUCAACUUCUCCUUCCACGCCAAGGAAAGGAUUCCAGGGCGAUGUUUCUGGAAAUAGAGAUCUGACCAAGCCACUGCUCUGGUGAAAAUUCAGUGGGUCCCUAGCACCUAGUGCAGCGGCUCCUAGCCUGAGUAUUGCCGUCUUUCGGUGGGGAGGGGUUGGGUUUUUUUGUAGCAUCUGUUGAUCUGAUCUCCAACAUCCUCCACGUCAAUUCCCACUCCACCCACAUCCCUUAUCCUAUACGUAAGCUUUCCAGCCACGGUGCUGGCUUGGGUGGGGGUGCGUGCGGUGCUGACACCAAAAUGGAGGUCCCGUGUUUCUGAGAGUCUCUUUCAGAGCAAUGCAAACCUGAAACUACUCCUGCCAAGAAACGAUUGCAGCUCUUCCCGGAAAAGUUAAAGCCUUUGAGAAACAAAGCUGAGGUUGAAAGUAUUAGUCCAUUUUAUAGAUGAAGAAAUGGAGGCCCAGAGAGAUCACGUGACUUAGCCAAGUCCACCAACUAAUAUUGGGAAGCUCAGCAGGGUCCUGGGGGCCCACAGGAAUGUGAAUAAACACGCUUGGAAAGUCUGCAGAAUUUCCAGUCCUAGCCUCCUGCUGGUGUGAACCUGGGCUCCUGUGCCUGGGACCCUGGGAGGGCCUAGGGGAUGCCAAAUUCCAGGGUCCAGAAAGAGCUUGGGAUAAAAUGAACAUCCAAGGGGAGGGCUUUGACCUGGGCUGAGUCUGCCUGUGCCGAGUCUGCCUGUGCCAUCCAACUGGAGUCUCAAGUCCUGAGGCAGGACGUCCAGAUGCCCCAGUGCAGGGUCCUCCUGAUCAACACCUGCUCCCCUGUACUCAUUAGCAACCUCACCCACCCUACUCUCAAAGCACACUUGGCUCUCAUAUCCAGGAGCUCUGCAUCUGUAGAUUCAGCAACAGCAGAUGGAAAAUAUUCAGAAAAUAAAUUGGACAGUUAUAUUUCUAUUGAACAUGUGCAGACUUUGUUCUUGUCAUUAUUCCCUAAAGAAUACAGUAUCACGACCAUU
rnacentral:lncRNA from 1 species